GAAUUUUGCGCAAUGGACGAAAGUCUGACGCAGCAACGCCGCGUGAGGGAUGAAGGCCUUCGGGUUGUAAACUUCUUUUCUCAGGGAAGAUAAUGACGGUACCUGAGGAAUAAGCCACGGCUAACUACGUGCCAGCAGCCGCGGUAAUACGUAGGUGGCAAGCGUUGUCCGGAUUUACUGGGCGUAAAGAGCGCGCAGGCGGUCGUUCAAGUCGAGUGUGAAAGCCCCCGGCUCAACUGGGGAGGGUCACUCGAUACUGAUCGACUCGAAGGCGGGAGAGGGAAGCGGAAUUCCCGGCGUAGUGGUGAAAUGCGUAGAUAUCGUGAGGAACACCAGUGGCCAAGGCGGCUUCCUGGCCCGUUCUUGACGCUGAGGCGCGAAAGCUAGGGGAGCGAACGG
rnacentral:rRNA from 1 species